UUGGAAUAUUGGACAAUGGGCGCAAGCCUGAUCCAGCCAUGCCGCGUGAGUGAUGAAGGCCUUCGGGUUGUAAAGCUCUUUAGUCCACGAAUAUAAUGACUGUAGUGGAAGAAUAAGCCCCGGCUAACUUCGUGCCAGCAGCCGCGGUAAUACGAAGGGGGCGAGCGUUACUCGGAAUUACUGGGCGUAAAGCGUGCGGAGGUGGUUGUUUAAGUCUGAUGUGAAAGCCCUGGGCUCAACCUGGGAAUGGCAUUGGAAACUGGGCAGCUAGAGUGCGGUAGAGGGUAGUGGAAUUCCCGGUGUAGCAGUGAAAUGCGUAGAGAUCGGGAGGAACAUCUGUGGCGAAGGCGACUGCCUGGACCAGCACUGACACUGAGGCACGAAAGCGUGGGGAGCAAACA
rnacentral:rRNA from 1 species